CUCUGGCCGCCUCGGAUUUCGAGGCAUUCGGAUAUACCUUCGCGGCGUAUGUCGACGACACACAUCUUCGCGAUUUCAACCGGACGAUCUGCGUGUCGUUGAUCCAUUGCACGGCCGACGAAGCGGUAGACUUCGCGAAAGAAUAAUAAUGGCUACCGCACAACUGAACAGAGCCAGGACUGUGAAGAAGCUCGAAAAACCACGGCCGCUUAAGCUCAACCAGCGCAACUCGACCGUCGAUGGGCGGAUCACGACUGUAGAGGAUAUAGUAUCCUUAAUCGACAAUGUUGCGAUGCAACUGACUAAUGGCUUCCAUGACCGAACGCUGCAGUUGAAUGUAAUCUCCAUGUGCAGUCACCUGAAACUUUACGCCAACCAAUUAGAAGCUAUUUACAAAGAUCAGCUGGACAGAGCCUUUGUGGCGAUCCGGAAUGGAAGUCAAGACGACAAAUUAGAUCUGACGACCAGGGUUCAUCUGCUGGAACUAAUAGAGCUGCGAGCUAAACAAUGGCGCCACACCGAUUCGAUGGACGUGUACUACAUGCAAAAGUUGUCACAUUUGGACAAUCAGAUCGAGACGGUACCCGACACGCCCACGAACUCCUUGUCGUCUCCGUUGUUGGCAAUGACCUCGCCUACCUCGGCGCCGAUCCUGGGGCCCGGUGAAGUGAUCAAGAAUAGUGGCAAAUUCACGAAGCCCACGCGCAUACCGGGGAAAAAUUAUUGCAAAGACGAAGUCGUCAUUCGCAACAGCGACUCGGGAAAAGUGAUGGGAAUAAAAGGGCGGCGGGUUCACAUGAUAGAGGAGCUCAGCCAGACGAUCAUCUCCUUCCAGCGAGUAAACCCUGGAGCUAAAGAACGACUUGUCCAAAUCACGGGAACGUCCGAGGACAAGAUUCAUUACGCGAAGGACUUAAUCAAAGAUACGAUACAACGAAAUGCAUCGCCAGUGAGACUGGAGCAGAGCGGCGGCGAGAAGGGAGCCAUGGGUGGCUCCAGUUCUUCGCUGAACAGCAGCGCGUCCGACGAAAGCAACAGGCUGCAACACAACCAACAGCACAAUUCUCGUCUGCGAUCAUCUCUCCUCCACAGCUUCUCCACCAACGACGCCAGUAUAGGCGAAUACAAGUAUACGGUUACGGUCGGUAACCAGUCCCUUAAAAUUACGGGCUGCAAUCUCGAUCUCGUUAGGACGGCGAAAUUAGUGUUGGACGAACAUUUUCUCGGCGAGUCCGACAACUUCACCAGCGGUAUAGAGUACUUCAACUAUGAGGACGAGCCCAACUUCGCUAUAACUUCCUCCACCCCCAAUGUUCCCCGUGCGCCGUUGGGGACGGUCAAUAUGAACACUUUAGGCCGAGAAUUGAGUUUGGAUAGCGCCGCGACCUCGGAGAGCGAAGAGACCUACAAGCCACGCCCGAUCUCCGAGGAGCUGUAUUCGACUCAACAAGUUCCAGAAGCAAGAGAACUUACGUACGAGUUUUUGUUGCUGUGCGCCACAGGCCCCUACGCGAAGCGACCUCCCGCGGAUUGGGCGCGCAUACAAAAGGAAUGUCCCAAUAUAGUUCGUAAGGUACCGCUAUGCGACAGGAACGCUAAUCACAUACCGUGCAACACCUUUCGUGUUAAUUUCCCCUGCAACGCCGUGGUUUAAUACCCCCUUUCUCUCCUCCUCGUCCCUCCCUCUUUAUCUAUGACACUCACCACUUGCCAAUAACGUAAUAAUAUAUUCACUGAAACAUGUCGCGUGGUGAUGAAUGCGAGCGUGGUGAUAAGAUUGUGAUUACUAUCAUUGCGUUUCUUAACUGCACGUCUAGACGCUAGGGCGGAAGUGAGAUCGCCUCUGACCGCUGAACUCUACUAAUACCAAAUGAAGAACUUACGCAUAGUGCAGUCUCCUUGUACAGAGAAGUUACAAGAAGAUGUAGAGAGAGGGCUAGGGGAAAGAAAAAGAGAAGUAACGUCGGGAAGUAGUUUUGUCUCCUUCUCCCAGACGCGAGUGUUAGCCCACAAUUCUCGCCAAGAGACCAGCCUCUUACGAGUAACAAGUAAUUAAUGUUGUUCUCUUUGGGGUUUUCUAAUUCAAUGGUGCAAUUUGUAAUCUGAUCAACGAACGAAACACGCAACGCAACAUGACAUUCACAUACCGAUCGUUCCUCGGAUUAUUGGAACGCCGGUACAAAUCUAACACGGGAUCCGCUGGCAGAUUAACGGUGAUAAACCUGUUCGGUUUCCACUCAACGUAAAGAUCCCUCGUAGAUUCUGCCGAGCACCUCUUAGUCGUGGACGAUGCCAAAUGGCUGGGUUUACUGCUAACAUUUUGCUUACUGCGCGCUCGCAUGUAUGCGUGCAAAUGUUUUAAUGGAAUAUUAAAUGAACUUUUGCACUCUCGGAGGGAGAUACAGCUACAGCUCGAGGGCUCAAGAGAGCAUCAGUAGUUCUCAGUAUUUCCAAUCGCUCACGAGAGCGGCUUUUUCAUGAUGAUUAUAGGACACGUGAAUCUCGAUGUUGUUUCGCGUUUCGUACACGACGAAAAAAGCUUUAGAAGAUUACGAUCCUGUAAUUAGAGAUUUUUGCAACAGUAGAGGUAGUGAUUCUUUUGUAAGAAUUCUCAACUCAAGACCAAAGAUUGUAAGCGAGUCCCGUGAACACACGAAUGUUCCUUUUUUUCUUUUGUUAUUUCGUGUUUUUCCUUUUUUUUUAUUUUCUCGACACGCUCACAAUUAUUUUCGCGCGUACACUUUAUGUACCAAACCUGACUGAUUGAACUCGAUUUCAUAUUCCAUAUGUGGUGUAGCUUAAAGGAGAAACUUCGCGUUUUGUCUCGCUCGAUGGAAUAUUAAACGAGAGAAUAUGAUGAACUUGUUGCGCGAGGCGAUUUACUCUGUUGGAUAUUUUAGUGUUUACUGUUUAUCACGCGAUUUACUCUGUUAGAUAUUUACUGUUUAAUGCAUUCACUCUUUGUUAAUGAGCGUUAAACGGAGUCGUGGUAAAUCGAUCGGGUGAAUCGUAUUAUUAUCGCGGUACAGCAUCGUCGUACUUUGAAAGUUAUAUUUGUGUAAAAACUCUGUCUUUUAUAGAUAUAUCAUACGUGUUCUUAAUAUUUUUUUUCUACAUAUGUUACUUUGCUACAUUGUUCAUAUUAUAGUAAGAAGAUUUUAUUUUACAUUACGCAUUUCUGUUUCUACGCAAUUGUGUUAAGACAUUGUGACGUUAAGAGUGAUCUGACUAACGAAAGCAAGGAAAAAAAAAUAAAAAAUCGAAAAAAAAGAAAUAAAAACGGGACCCAAGAUGGUUCCGUCGGAUCCUACACGAAGGAGAUUAUAACGAGGAAAUAAGACUUAGUGUUGUGUAUCGGAUUCACAUACACGCUCUGUAUUAAUAAUAAAUCGUACUGCGAAACUCACCCGAGUCUUGCUCUGUGUUCGCUCGCUCGUAUGAUCAUCAAAGAAGGCGAACCAAGCUCGGCGGAUGUGUAAUAUAAUUAAAAAGGAAAAAAUGAGGAGAGACUUACGUUCUAUCGCCUGCAUGCGCCCAUGCGUGAGCAAUACUUAACACACACGGCUUCCCAACACCGAAGCAUGCCGCUUGUAACAUAACGAGGUGCAAGGCACCGAUUCGCUGGUUCGAACCGGAAGCGUAUAAAGCCAAAUUAGCAGCCGCUGGCCCCGUCGCAAUAUUGCCGAUCGGCGAAGCGGAGACCGAUCCCGAAUGAAGAGGGCCGAAUCUUCGCCUCCUUCGAAGGAUUCCCUCGCGAACGAAUGUCCUCUCUUCUUCCCUCCCUCGCCCGAUGUUGGUUCGUCACCGACAUUCGUAGGAGAAAAUUUCACCCGUCCCCCCCCCCCCCCCCAAAGAAGAAACGCGACGCAUGUAGAAUAGCGUUGGUUAUAUUUGACGAUUGUAAGGCGCGUUUUCUUUCACGUGUCCUCGAAUAGAACAAAAUUGUUUCUUUUUUUUUCUUGCUAAAUGAUAUUUUGUUAACAGUUUCUUUCCUAAAAGAGAGAAAAAGCAGCGUUAAAUCUUUCGCGGGCAUUUACGGAGUAACGUUUAAAUGCAAGGAGAUUCGAUACACGCUUCAUGCAAUUGAAAUACGCUAGUCAUUAGAGUCUAUCGGUUGGAAGGUCAUUUUUUACGCGAUUAUUUUCUUUUUAUUUUCGAUCGGAUACGCCGUCGAAAUAUAAACCGCGCCACAAUUUUGUACUCGCGAACGAAUUUAAGAACGAGUCGUCGGUAUUUUGGUUUUUGGUCAAAGAGAAAGGAGAUUUGAAUUUGUGGAAAUCAUAUUGAAAGACAGCUAUUAAUUUUUUUUUUCGUACGCUUAGUUACUACUAGAAUUAAUAGCGUUAGAAAACAAGAAAACCGUAAGAUCGAGCGUUCGAUGGUUACUGAGUAAACCGGUUUUCGGUCUGUUUCUUUUUGCAAACGUAUUCACGCGGAAGACCGUGAUGAAUUUACUAUUCAUCCAAUCGAAUCGGAAUAACGCCCAGUGUUCUCGAUCUUGAAAAAAAGAUUAAUCGUGAAAGACUAAUAUAUAUAUAUAUAUAUAUAUGAUACUUUAGGAGAAUGUAAACACACAUAGAGACACACACACACACACACACACACAACAUACACGUCACACACGCGGUAAAACGCGUCGCGAGAACAAUUCCGCGUUUUUGUAAUACAAUUAUAAGUAUAUCGUUCCGCAAAGAAAAAAAAAAGCGGUGACUUCGAAUCUCGCGAAUAUAAUUAAAGGAGAAAUAACGAACGAAAGAAAAAAAAAGAGAUCGAACCGUGAUUUAGCAUAGUCUAGUCUCUCUAUACCUAUUACAACGUAGGAAACUAUCAUUUUGGUAUUUAUUUACUCUGCUGUGACGCAAUAACCAAAAAGGAAAAACCGUAAAAAAAAAAGAGAAUUUCCGAGAGUUUAUAUUUUAUAUACGGCUAGAGACACGAAAACGUUUGCGCCAUGUGCGACACACGGGACUUGCCUCGUGCAGAAUCGCCCAAUCGAUGGUUGCGCGAUUGUUUUUCUUCUCCUUUUUGACAGAAUCCCCGCUCCCCCAAAACGUGCCAAAUUCGUGUCCUUCGUGUAUCGGAAAAUGGCCGAACUGACGAGAAGACCGGAAGAUUUGUUUUUCGAAGCGUAUACGACGAAUGAGAAAGCCUCAAAGAAUGACCGCGCGACCGAUUGAUCCUGCUCAUUGGGCGAUUCCGCGCGAUGUGAAGCGACCUGUCGAAGACUUCGUUUCUCCUCAUUUUCUACGACUUCAAUUCGUUCACGUUUCACCCUCGCGAUUUGGAAACCAAGGAGCCGGCAGUGAAGGAGGUCGUCACGUCGAUGUCGUCCGUGUUCGGUACUCGCAUCGAGAGGAGAACGUUAACAUUGUUGAAACAUUAUUGUAAACGUUAUUAUAAUAUUGUAUUAUUGUAAAACUCGAGCCGACCAUUUGGUUUCCGAAUCACGCAUAAGGAACUCGCGCUGCCUACCCCGUGUGUCGCACGCAAUCUCACCGCACCACGAGUCCAGGACGCUGCGUUUUCGUACAGUUUUUA